CCUACGGGGGGCAGCAGUGAGGAAUAUUGGUCAAUGGGCGAGAGCCUGAACCAGCCAAGUCGCGUGAGGGAGUACUGCCCUAUGGGUUGUAAACCUCUUUUGUCGGGGAGCAAAAGCCGGACGUGUCCGGCUGUGAGAGUACCCGAAGAAAAAGCAUCGGCUAACUCCGUGCCAGCAGCCGCGGUAAUACGGAGGGUGCGAGCGUUAUCCGGAUUUCUGGGGUUGAAAGGGUGCGCAGGCGGAUUUUUAAGUCAGCGGUCCAAUCGUGGGGCGCAACCCCAUCCAGCCGUUGAAACUGGGGAUGGAGAGGGUGCGAGAGGGAUGGGGAAUGCGUGGUGUAGCGGUGAAAUGCAUAG
rnacentral:rRNA from 1 species